rnacentral:sRNA from 1 species
UCCUAGCCCAGAUAGAAGUGGAAAUCCUUUUCUUUUUUUUCUUUAAAAAAAGAAAAGAUUACUUCACAUUGAAUUUAUCUUCAGCGGAGUUCAGUGAACUUCGUUUGAAACGUAUAGCUGGAUUAGCU